UGCCUACGGGGGGCAGCAGUAGGGAAUCUUCCACAAUGGGCGAAACCCUGACGCAGCAACGCCGCGUGCGGGAUGACGGCCUUCGGGUUGUAAACCGCCUUCAGCAGGGAAGAACAUCGACGGUACCUGCAGAAGAAGCCCCGGCUAACUACGUGCCAGCAGCCGCGGUAAUACGUAGGGGGCGAGCGUUAUCCGGAUUCAUUGGGCGUAAAGCGCGCGUAGGCGGGUGCCUAAGCGGGACCUCUAACCUCGGGGCUCAACCCCGAGCCGGGUCCC
rnacentral:rRNA from 1 species